CGGACCCCAGUCCCACAAAGUUGCUGGCCAGGGCAUCUCCAGCCCAGCCUGCUGCCAGGAGGGGCAUUGUCUGCCCAAGCACGUUGGUCGCACUGUCUUCAGACAUAGAGCCAUGGGACACCCACUGUCCAAAGGAGCAGCUGGUGUUGCCUUCCUCGCUGGAGUUUAUGACAUGCCCAACAUGAGAUCUGGACCACCUGGACUUUCUGCUCCUUCUCAUUAUCGUUAUGAUUUCUUUGAUUUGGGUCUGGAUCGCCACAGGCUACUGAGCGGG